rnacentral:rRNA from 1 species
AUGGGAACGCGAAGAACCUUACCUACUCUUGACAUCCAGAGAACUUUCCAGAGAUGGAUUGGUGCCUUCGGGAACUCUGAGACAGGUGCUGCAUGGCUGUCGUCAGCUCGUGUUGUGAAUGUUGGGUUAAGUCCCGCAACGAGCGCAACCCGUUAUCCUUUGUUGCCAGCGGUUAGGCCGGGAACUCAAAGGAGACUGCCAGUGAUAAACUGGAGAAGGUGGGGAUGACGUCAAGUCAUCAUGGCCCUUAGAGUAGGGCUACACACGUGCUACAAUGGCGCAUACAAAGAGAAGCGACCUCGCGAGAGCAAGCGGACCCCAUAAAGUGCGUCGUAGUCCGGAUUGGAGUCUGCAACUCGACUCCAUGAAGUCGGAAUCGCUAGUAAUCGUAGAUCAGAAUGCUACGGU